AUGGAGGUUUUCAAGGAACCAGCCAGAACAGGAGGCAGCCAGAGAGACCAGUGCCAGGAAGAAUGUGGCUGCUGUCCUGGAAGGAGAGGACCCACUAGGAAGAACAGAACCCGGCCGGCUCAGCCCCUGAGGCUCACUCUCUCCAGGGACCUGGCCUCGGGCCCUAGUAGCCCACCUCCUACCACUGUGGGCCAUCACCAGCCCACUUCAGAAAAAGGUCAUUAAACCAGAUACUGCCCGCUUCCAAAUAAAUGAGAGCUUCAAGUAAAAGUAAGUGAGAAGCACCUUAGUCCCUACCACCACCCUGGCAAGCAAGGCUGAAGAUGUGUUUCCUUCUGUAUUUCAUCUAUCUGAAGGGGUCACCCUGGGGACUUGGGUAUUCAGAUGACGGUCUCCUUGAGGAACUAGAGGAAGAAUGUCCAAGGCCUGCUUUGGACAGAGAGGAUCCUGGACCCCCAGUUGCUGAAUAGAAGAAGUAAGGUCUGGGGUCAGGGCUGCCAUCCUAGGUUAGAGGGAGCUGGGGUAGGUGGGGUGGUUGGGACAGGUGUGGCCUGCUCCAGGCUUAGGGAGGUUCAGAUAGGUACAAUUAACCCAUAAAGUCCUUU
rnacentral:lncRNA from 1 species